CCUCCUUCCUCUGAGACUUAGGGCCGUACUUUUAAAAACUUUCGCCAGGUCCGGCAUUCAGUUUCACCAGGCGAUCAACAAUUUCGUACUGUUAACACCAGUGACAGAUGUCACCAGACUUUCCUUCGCCAGGGUUGGCAAUGGAAUCAUAUUGGAAUAGCCUGGCGAACGUAAGUAGCCGAGAGGCUACUUACGUUGCCUACUUGCUUUCUCAAAACCAUCGUGAUUCUAGCUGGAGAUCAAGACAACACCAGGCCCCCCAGAUUAUGGAUCCCCUAGUAGAAUUUGAAGAGUUGGAAGUGCUUGAGAUGCAGGAGAAAGACUGCCAAGACGAACCACUUGGAUUUGUUUACAAGCCUGACUGAAGGGGAAUUUACAUCUCGGUUCCACAUAGGCAAGGCAACUGCAAGGUCUUUGCUUGCUGAUUUACAUUUACCAGAGGCAAAUGAUUCAUGAGGCUGUCCAGUGCCACCUCACCUUCAACUCCUCUUCACCUUACAAUUGAUGGCAACUGGAGAUUUGCAGCUCACAAUUGGGGAUAACUUUGACAUUUCACAACAGUUCAUAAGCUCAUGCUCCUCAUGUACUGUACGUGCCAUUGCUGCUUUAUUUCAGCGGCACAUAAAGUUUCCUGAAAGGCAUCAGCUGCAACCUGUUAAGGACAACUUUUCUGCUAUUUCUGGAUUUCCCAGUGUUAUUGGUGCAAUAGACUGUACACAUAUUCCCAUUCAGAGUCCAGGUGGUCCCCAAGCCGAACAGUAUCGGUGCAAAAAGGUUUUUUUUUCAUUAAAUGUACAAGCAGCGUGUGGUCCAGGCUUGAGUUUUUUUUAAUGUUGUUUGUCAGUGGCCAGGCUCAGUGCAUGAUAGCAGGAUAUUCAGGAGCAGUUCUUUGUAUGCUCAAAUGCAGACAGGAGAUUAUAGUGGCCAUCUGCUAGGGUAUUCUGCAUACCCAUUAAGCUCAUUUUUAUUGACUCAAGUUUUGAAUCCCAGACAGCAAAAUUAAAU